rnacentral:rRNA from 1 species
GACGAACGCUGGCGGCGCGCUUAACACAUGCAAGUCGAACGGAAAGGCCUGCUUUCCUUUGUGGAUUGCGGGUACUCGAGUAGCGAACGGGUGAGUAACACGUGAGUGAUCUGCCCCCAACUUGGGUAUAAGCCUGGGAAACUGGGUCUCAUUCCCGAUAGGACUGCAGGGUGGUGCCUAGGGUGGAGAACGAUUUUCUAUUGGUUGGGGAUUAGCUCGCGGCCUAUCAGCUUGUUGGUGGGGUAAUGGCCUACCAAGGCGGCGACGGGUAGCCGGCCUGAGAGGGUGGACGGCCACAUUGGGACUGGGAUACGGCCCAGACUCCUACGGGAGGCAGCAGUGGGGAAUAUUGCACAAUGGGCGGAAGCCUGAUGCAGCGACGCCGCGUGGGGGAUGACGGCCUUCGGGUUGUAAACUCCUUUCGACCGCGAGGAAGCCACCUGGUUGGAAGGGUGGUUACGGUAGUGGUAGAAGAAGCACCGGCUAACUACGUGC